rnacentral:rRNA from 1 species
AUUGAACGCUGGCGGCAGGCCUAACACAUGCAAGUCGAGCGAGCGGCGGACGGGUGAGUAAUGCCUGGGAAUUGCCCAGUCGAGGGGGAUAACCGUUGGAAACGACUGCUAAUACCGCAUACGAUUGGAUUGCCCAGGUGGGAUUAGCUCGUUGGUGAGGUAAUGGCUCACCAAGGAGACGAUCCCUAGCUGGUCUGAGAGGAUGAGCAGCCACACUGGAACUGAGAAACGGUCCAGAUUCCUACGGGAGGAAGCAGAGGGGAAUAUUGCACAAAGGGGGAAACCCUGAUGCAGCCAUGCCGCGUGUGUGAAGAAGGCCUGCGGGGUGUAAAGCACUGUCAGCGAGGAGGCGUUACUCGCAGAAGAAGCACCGGCUAACUCCGUGCCAGCAGCCGCGGUAAUUC